AGAGUUUGAUCAUGGCUCAGAUUGAACGCUGGCGGCAGGCCUAACACAUGCAAGUCGAGCGGUAGCACAGAGAGCUUGCUCUCGGGUGACGAGCGGCGGACGGGUGAGUAAUGUCUGGGAAACUGCCUGAUGGAGGGGGAUAACUACUGGAAACGGUAGCUAAUACCGCAUAAUGUCGCAAGACCAAAGUGGGGGACCUUCGGGCCUCAUGCCAUCAGAUGUGCCCAGAUGGGAUUAGCUAGUAGGUGGGGUAACGGCUCACCUAGGCGACGAUCCCUAGCUGGUCUGAGAGGAUGACCAGCCACACUGGAACUGAGACACGGUCCAGACUCCUACGGGAGGCAGCAGUGGGGAAUAUUGCACAAUGGGCGCAAGCCUGAUGCAGCCAUGCCGCGUGUGUGAAGAAGGCCUUCGGGUUGUAAAGCACUUUCAGCGGGGAGGAAGGCGUUAAGGUUAAUAACCUUGGCGAUUGACGUUACCCGCAGAAGAAGCACCGGCUAACUCCGUGCCAGCAGCCGCGGUAAUACGGAGGGUGCAAGCGUUAAUCGGAAUUACUGGGCGUAAAGCGCACGCAGGCGGUCUGUCAAGUCGGAUGUGAAAUCCCCGGGCUCAACCUGGGAACUGCAUUCGAAACUGGCAGGCUAGAGUCUUGUAGAGGGGGGUGGAAUUCCAGGUGUAGCGGUGAAAUGCGUAGAGAUCUGGAGGAAUACCGGUGGCGAAGGCGGCCCCCUGGACAAAGACUGACGCUCAGGUGCGAAAGCGUGGGGAGCAAACAGGAUUAGAUACCCUGGUAGUCCACGCCGUAAACGAUGUCGAUUUGGAGGUUGUGCCCUUGAGGCGUGGCUUCCGGAGCUAACGCGUUAAAUCGACCGCCUGGGGAGUACGGCCGCAAGGUUAAAACUCAAAUGAAUUGACGGGGGCCCGCACAAGCGGUGGAGCAUGUGGUUUAAUUCGAUGCAACGCGAAGAACCUUACCUGGUCUUGACAUCCACAGAACUUAGCAGAGAUGCUUUGGUGCCUUCGGGAACUGUGAGACAGGUGCUGCAUGGCUGUCGUCAGCUCGUGUUGUGAAAUGUUGGGUUAAGUCCCGCAACGAGCGCAACCCUUAUCCUUUGUUGCCAGCGGUCCGGCCGGGAACUCAAAGGAGACUGCCAGUGAUAAACUGGAGGAAGGUGGGGAUGACGUCAAGUCAUCAUGGCCCUUACGACCAGGGCUACACACGUGCUACAAUGGCAUAUACAAAGAGAAGCGACCUCGCGAGAGCAAGCGGACCUCAUAAAGUAUGUCGUAGUCCGGAUUGGAGUCUGCAACUCGACUCCAUGAAGUCGGAAUCGCUAGUAAUCGUAGAUCAGAAUGCUACGGUGAAUACGUUCCCGGGCCUUGUACACACCGCCCGUCACACCAUGGGAGUGGGUUGCAAAAGAAGUAGGUAGCUUAACCUUCGGGAGGGCGCUUACCACUUUGUGAUUCAUGACUGGGGUGAAGUCGUAACAAGGUAACCGUAGGGGAACCUGCGGUUGGAUCACCU
rnacentral:rRNA from 1 species